ensembl:rRNA 5S_rRNA 5S ribosomal RNA
ACGUACAGCCAUACCACUUUGAACGUGCCCAAUCUCGUCUGAUCUCGGGAGCUGAGCAGGGUUGGGUCUGGUUUACACUCAGAUGGAGACAUGCCUUUUAGAUCUAGCUUCAUCAGGCAUCGGCUAUGUGUU